UACGGAGGGAGCUAGCGUUGUUCGGGAAUUACUGGGCGUAAAGCGCACGUAGGCGGCUUUGUAAGUUAGAGGUGAAAGCCUGGAGCUCAACUCCAGAAUUGCCUUUAAGACUGCAUCGCUUGAAUCAUGGAGAGGCGGGUGGAAUUCCGAGUGUAGAGGUGAAAUUCGUAGAUAUUCGGAAGAACACCAGUGGCGAAGGCGGCCCGCUGGACAUGUAUUGACGCUGAGGUGCGAAAAGCG
rnacentral:rRNA from 1 species